CCUACGGGAGGCAGCAGUGGGGAAUAUUGCACAAUGGGGGAAACCCUGAUGCAGCGACGCCGCGUGAGUGAAGAAGUAAUUCGUUAUGUAAAGCUCUAUCAGCAGGGAAGAAAAUGACGGUACCUGAGUAAGAAGCCCCGGCUAACUACGUGCCAGCAGCCGCGGUAAUACGUAGGGGGCAAGCGUUAUCCGGAUUUACUGGGUGUAAAGGGAGCGUAGACGGCUGUGCAAGCCAGAUGUGAAAGCCCGGGGCUCAACCCCGGGACUGCAUUUGGAACUGUGUGGCUGGAGUGUCGGAGAGGAUAGUGGAAUUCCAGGUGUAGGAGUGAAAUCCGUAGAUAUCUGGAGGAACAUCAGUGGCGAAGGCGACUAUCUGGCACAUAACUGACGCUGAGGAGCGAAAGCGUGGGUAGCAAACAGGAUUAGAUACCCGAGUAGUC
rnacentral:rRNA from 1 species